rnacentral:rRNA from 1 species
UAAUACAGAGGGUGCAAACGUUGUUCGGAAUUACUGGGCAUAAAGCGUACGUAGGCGGCGUUGUAAGUGUGAAGUGAAAUCCCACGGCUCACCCGUGGAACUGCUUUGCAUACUGCAAUGCUAGAGGACGGUAGGGGAGAGCGGAACUCCUGGUGGAGCGGUGAAAUGCGUAGAUAUCAGGAGGAACACCGAUGGCGAAGGCAGCUCUCUGGUCCGUUUCUGACGCUGAGGUACGAAAGCUAGGGUAGCGAACGGGAUUAGAUACCCCGGUAGUCCUAGCCGUAAACGAUGGGCACUAGCUAAAGGUCCUCCUGUGGGAUCUUUGGCGAAGCAAAUGUAAUAAGUGCCCCGCCUGGGGGAGUAUGGUCGCAAGGCUA